AAAAAAAAAAAAAAAGAGGGUGAAAAAAAAAAUAAAGAAGAAGAAGCAGAAGAAGCUGCUUCUUUUUCUUCUUUUGCACUCAGCAACAAACAUUUUUCUGAACUUUUACCAUAUAUUAUGAUCUUGUUUUCUCUAGGAGCUGAAGUUGGAAGAUUUUAGGUAUCAGUUUUGAGUUAGAAUGUCAUGUUCUGAUUCAACCUCUACAUUUGAAUAACCUUCUCUGAGAGUCUAGACAUAUUCUAAGUUUGUAUUAUCACUAUUUGUGAAAAUAGUGAUGGAAUUAUCUGAAUGUAGUUUUUGAGGUGAGCCUAGACUUAAUUUACAUAAUGAAGUUCUAUGAUUAUGUUAAUACAGCCUGCACUUAGUUGUGGAGUUAAAUUGAGAUAAUCUUCACUCAGUUAUGGUCCUGCAAAUUAAAGGCAUCAAAAGCGUACUUCUUGUUGUGUUUCUUUGUUCUCUGAUGUUGUUGUCAUUUUUUCCUCGAUUUAUGGUGAGUGGUGACCAUUGUGCUGUUUGCUGCCCAGAAGGCUUGUGCCCUUUGAUUAAAGAAACAAGUCCUUUGUUCC
rnacentral:misc_RNA from 1 species